UAAUGUGACAUUGGGAUCCGGAGGCCGGAAUCCUGACAUGGAUCAGAAUAGGAUCACAGUGACGGUGCCAGCCUCCCAAAAGCGGAGGAUCUCGAUCAACAGAAUGCCAGGCCGCCGAAGAGGACAACAUGAAAUUAUCUCUCAUCCCAACCAAACAUUUCCAUGGCUCGUGCAAUUAUCAUACGGGCAAUGUUACCCCAUACUACAGUACAAAUUAUUUAUAGGAUUUUCUAAGGGCUGUAGCAGGAGAUGGAACGCAGAUGAGUUUAAGCAUUUUCAGAGCCGUGGGGUCCCAAUUUCUUUUAAAGCUUUUAUGGUAAAUGGAUCUGUUGAGAUGUA